CCGAUCGCGUCACACUCAAGGUCCAAAGAUGGUGUGCGCACUUGUUUGUGGUCAUUUACCAUUAUAAUGAACGGGAGGCGCAGUUUCUACCAAAACGCUCGCUGCAGAAAAACUCCAUGUCCUAUUUGAAAAAAGUCUGGACCAUGAGUGAGGGCACAAACACAGCUAAGAUAUAUCCAAAUGGCAAGUUGCUCCUCCUUUCGCUUUUGCCGAGAGAGCAGUGCGUUUGAGCCAUUGAAUGAUGAACAGGAAAAACUUGACUUUAUUCUCCUGCCAUGGGGGGGCGCUCUUUUAAAGAGAAAAAACUCCUUCACAAAUGUGUUGCUGGCUGGACAUUGCAUCAUCCUAGAAAACAUGGAGGCCAGUGAGGACAAAAAUAAAAAGUUAUAAGACUUUUAAAUAUGUGGAUUUUAGGGUUAUAUUUGGCGCCCCCUAGAACCUAAACCGUGGGGUGCAGCGUCAUGAUUUGAAUAACUUUUAAUGGCCAUGGGGUGUAGAUUGGCCUGAGCAAAUGUGGUGCCGGUGGAACGAAAGCCUUCGGAGGAAUUAGCGAAAUUCCAAUGUGUGCGAAUCUGCAAAAAAUGCGAAAUAACCCUUUAACCGUACAUUUUACAGAUACGUGGCCAUUGACUUUUUCGAAGAUCUUAUGUAAAUACACGUGUAUGUAAAAUUUUGUGUCAAUACGACAAAACAUACAGGCGUAGCACUCAACAAUGUGUAUUUUCACCUUAGUGGACAAGAAAAAAUUGACUUUUUUCUCCUGCCAUGGGGGGCGCUCUUUUGCCGAGUAAAAAUUCCUUCACAAAUGUGUUGAUGGCUGGACAUUGCAUCAUCCUAGAAAACUUGGAGGCCAGUGGGGACAAAAAUAAAAAGUUAUAAGACUUUUAAAUAUGUGGAUUUUAGGGUUAUAUUUGGCGCCCCCUAGAACCUAAACCGUGGGGUGCAGCGUCAUGAUUUGAAUAACUUUUAAUGGCCAUGGGGUGUAGAUUGGCCUGAGCAAAUGUGGUGCCGGUGGAACGAAAGCCUUUGGAGGAAUUAGCGAAAUUCCAAUGUGUGCGAAUCUGCAAAAAAUGCGAAAUAACCCUUUAACCGUACAUUUUACAGAUACGUGGCCAUUGACUUUUUCGAAGAUCUUAUGUAAAUACACGUGUAUGUAAAAUUUUGUGUCAAUACGACAAAACAUACAGGCGUAGCACUCAACAAUGUGUAUUUUCACCUUAGUGGACAAGAAAAAAUGGACUUUUUUCUCCUGCCAUGGGGGGGCGCUCUUUUGCCGAGUAAAAAUUCCUUCACAAAUGUGUUGAUGGCUGGACAUUGCAUCAUCCUAGAAAACUUGGAGGCCAGUGGGGACAAAAAUAAAAAGUUAUAAGACUUUUAAAUAUGUGGAUUUUAUGGUUAUCUUUGGCUCCCCCUAGAACCUAAACCGUGGGGUGCAGCGUCAUGAUUUGAAUAACUUUUAAUGGCCAUGGGGUGUAGAUUGGCCUGAGCAAAUGUGGUGCCGGUGGAACGAAAGC